GUCGUACUGAGGGCGACCCCGCGGGCCCCACUGGGCUUUGGCCCAAACCUGACAACCUACCUGGUUACUCACAAGGGUGGCAACGGCCCCUUCCUGAUCCACAUUCACAAAUAGCUGGAGGGCAGGUCUCCUGCUUAAGGGUGUGGAAGCUUAACUAGGAAUAACUGAUUACCCACUUAAAAAAAUUCCAUCCUUAAGGUGACAGGGUAGCCCGGUUCCCUGCUUGAUUUUGCUUUCUCAGAUUUGACAAACAAGGUUAUGUAAACUUGAGCAUUUUAUAGAAUGCAGAGGAUGUAAGUACAGUAAUUUAUGUUGUAUGCUUGACUUCAGUGCUUCUGAGGACUGUUUAAAAUAAUAAUUAAUCUAUUCAAGUGUUAGAGCAAUAUAUUUUCCCUUUGAGCAAAGGAGAAGACUUCUCCCAAUAUAGCAGCAGUUUAGUGAGUGAAGCAAUUAAAUGUGUGAUAUAAAAAGAAGUUGCUUAAUUUAAAGAUCAUGUAAUUUGAUAAACCAAGAAAAAAAAUGAACUUCUGUAAGUUUUUAAAAGUCAUGUGGUAACUUUUUUCCCUCAAAAAAAUUAUUUUGCUAUACAUAGUUGUGUAAACCUACCCUGUUUAUGAUGCUAAAUGCUGUAGAUAUACAAAAAUCUAGUACCGUGAGGUAAGAUAGGGACCAUUUUCUAGUUUUCAGAUUAAACUUUCAACCUCGACAUUUUGCUUCCUUGGAAACUGUUUUACUUGUUUGGUAGUGUGGCCAGGACAGAAAUUCAUUAGUGAGGUCAUGUGAUGAUUUGGUUUACUUCUCAGUAAGGGGCUCACAAAGAGCAUCAGGAUUUGCAUUAAGGAUUUGUCAUACCUGUGUGUCUGGAGUGUGGCUCUCUUAUGUAUCUGGAACCUGGCCAAGGACCAGGAAAGGGGCAAAAAGGCUCCCUCAGCAACAGAAUAGAUGGCAUGAAGUCUGAGGGAAUACUUCAGACCCUUUCUUAAACAUACUUACUCUUAUUUUAGAUAACAAUCCUAACAGUUUUUAAGUCUGAAAAAUAAUUCAUAGCACAUUAGGGAUAGUACGUGUAGAAAUGGGGUGAGGGGCUGCUGUAACCUGCAGUGAAAAGUGACCCCCGACAGCCUGACAACCAGGAAGCAGACAGGAUUUAGACACAAGAAUUGGGAGCAAAAGCCCUGGAGGUGUGGGAAUAUUAGGGUAGGAACUCUCAAUCCACCCUGCAGGCAUUACUCUAUAAAUGGCAUAAAUCCAUAAUUGCUAUUUACCAUUAAUGAGAGUGAACUAUCCAAAAGUAUACAUUUUAAAAUACACUCUUUCAGAAUAGAGGGAAAUACGCCAUAAGCUUUGGAAAUACUGACAUUCAAGAUAAUUAACCUCCAAAGCUGUUUUGGUGUGUAAAGCUCUUACCCAUUCAGAAAACUAGGCUGUGUAGAAUGACUCAUUCAUUGGCUAGCUGAGGUUUUCUAUAGCAAAAUCAUCAUGUAUCACUUUAUCUAGUAAUAGUCAAUUAAACAAAUGUACAUAUUUCUUCUAGUGUUGAGAGAUUUUAAAACUUGGUGAAUGGGAACCAAAUUCAUUGAGGGUCUUGAUCUCAGUAUAAUAGAAAAGAUUAGUUAUAGUAUGAACUAGGCUCUGUUUACUCUAUGACUGACUUUAAACAAAGAUAAUCCUUCACACUUAACAGUGGUUUAUUUGAGGUCCAUGCGCUGUAUUUUGUUACAAUUCAUUAUCUUAAAUUUAGUGUUUAUUGAGAAUCUAGUGGUUCACUGGUUCAAACUUUGCCUCAAGUUCAUGGUCAUCUGCAAUCCAGAGAAAAUGGUUGAGUCAGUUCCUAUGGCUUGUGUGUGUGUGUGUGUGUGUGUGUGUUAUUGGUCAUGAUCGGCUCCCUAAGUAGAGGCUUGUUUCCAGAAUCCUGAUAGCUGUAGAUAAAAAUCUCUUCAGCCCCCAGCCCAGAUUAACAUUGAGAAUUUUGGCCAGUUUCAGUUUGUAGAUGAAAUUGUUUCAGGUCAUUUCAUAGAAAAAAAUGGCAAAAAUGGAACUCACUGACUUCACCUGUAAUUCCCCAGAAAAAAAUAGGUUGUGUGGCACUGUAUAUUUGUGCCAUUUGUAAUUUGGACUUGAAAUUUAUUUUCCAACUGUAACAAUGUAAUAAAUGGAGAUUCUGAAGUGAAUUCACAAAGACUUAUCAACUCACAAAACUGCAUAUCUUGUAGGGGAAAUUGCAGAGGUUUGUAGUAAAUAAAUGGCAGAAAGAUUGUUGCUUUACUUACAAGUCAAUACAAGAGAGAGGAUUAUCGGAAUAGUGGUGCUUGAGACAAAUCUAGUGGUAGAAAUUGAAAAGGACUUGUGGAAACAUUUACUCUCUUUAGAAGGUGAAGCUAUUGGUUCUGUGAGUUUUAUAGUUCUUGGUUUCCAUAGUACAGGUAUGUCAUACCCUGAGUUGCUUUUUUUAGGUCCCAAAUGGAGUAAAAGGAAAGCAGAAUAGAGGUUUUCCUGAUGAUACUGGGUAAGAUCUGGUAUGUAGUUCUUUAACCUAUUCAUUUGACAUACAUUUUUUUGACUGCCUACUCCUUUCCUGGCCCUGUGUUCUACAGUGAGACUAAAAAGGUAACUUGCUAUAUUCCAUUAUUUGGUACAUAGACACCCAAUGUUGAGUAAAUGACUAAUACAGUGUCUGAAACAUAGAUAUGGUAACAAAAGAGGUGGAUGGGAGGGUUUCUGGAAGCACUGUGAACCUAGCAGCUAACUGCCUAGGGGAAGGGGAGUCAGGGAAGACUUCACUGGAGAGGAGAUACGUUUGAGUUGAGCUUUGAAGGAUGGAUAGGAGUUGGUUCAAUAGGUAAAAAGGAUUAUAGAGAGUAAAAAGGAUUAUAGAGAGCUGGCAUGAAGACAUUUUCCAAGCAGAAGUGAUAGCAUUUGUAAAAAUACAGCCUUCAGAAAGGGUGUGGUUGAGUUCAGGAAACAGUGAGUUCAGAGUGGCUAGAUGAACAUAAAAUGAUGAACUGCAAGAGGCGGACGUUAAACCAGAAGUGGUGGGUGUGCAGGACUUGCCAGCUAAGGUAUUUGAGCUUAAUCCUGCAGAGAUGACUGAAAACUCAAGAAGACCUUGGAAAUGUUAAGAAGAAAGUUAAAAGAUGAAAGGUGUGUGUGUGUAUGUGUGUGUACACUUUUGGGAAAGAGUUUUUCAGCAUAUGCAUUGUUCUUUGAGAGGCAAAAAUGGGAGAAGCAAAACAAAGUUUGGUUCAGUUUCCAUUUUGGUCACCUGGUGGCCUCGUCUGCUUGGGGCAGCUUUGUUGCUGUCAGCGUUGAUAUAUUAGGGAGAAGAAGGGAUUGCUAUAGAGAAGAAAAGAAGGGAUUGUCCAGGUGUCCACUUAUUUAUAUCCAUGGGAGUGUCUAUGGCCCAGAGGAUUGUUAGAGUAUAGAUACUGAAAUCAGUCGACUGGGCUAAUCAAUUAAUUUCUAAGCUUCAGUGUUCUCAUCUGAAGAUGGAGCUAAUAAACCUUGUUGUUCUCCAGAAAUUACUUGUUAAUAACUCAGCAAGGACCUAUUCUAUCCCCCACAUUUAGAUUUGGUUCUAAUUAAUGUGGAACUUGUAUGAAUAAUGUUUUCCUAAAUGAUAGGAAAUCUUUCCAUUUAAAGAAUUAUCAAGAAGAGAUUGGAGAUGACUUGGGACCCUGAAAAUAUAAGAGUCUACUUGGGUCCAUCUUCUGCAUUUUAGCUUUGCUGUUCUAAUCUUUAUCACGUUGGGUCCAAAAAAAUGCAGCACUGACCCAAUUUCCUCAAAUAACUUAUCAACACCUUUUCCUUUAUUUGGUGAAUGUAAAAAGAAAUCAUUUUGUUGAAUAAAAUGUAUGAAGAACUUUAUAUCUGGAACACUUCACUUAAGGUAUUACAAUUUUUGGGAGGUUUGUGUAGGAUGAUGGGUAAUAAGUCAUACAUAUUCACACUCUUUUUUGUGAAUAACUUCGAUUUGGUUGUUUAGCUUGGGUGCUUAAGGCCUUGUGCAACUGAGCUUGUGUUAUUAACAGGCCUAUCAAAGCAGUAAAAGGUAGACAAACGUAAGAGCAGUCAAAUGAGUUUGUUUAUGUUUAAAUAAACAAACCAGGGUGAAAUGAGGGUUCUUAAGGACUGAGAAGUUAUUGAAAAUCUCCCAGUAUAUCCUGCAGGGGUGUAGUUCUCAAGAGAAUUGACACCACCAGAGAAGAGCACAUACUUCUGCUCUCUGACCUGAGGAGAGAUUAGGAGGUUUUCAUCCAUGAGUGAAAUGCCUUAUGUAACUUACUUGCUUGGAAAGGUGUGGUGCUCAUAUAAAUCUUUUUACCUUUCUAAGAUAUAAUUACUACCUUGAGUUUUAGCUUGUUCCUUCCUUUCUGUCCCUCCUAAUCAUUCCUUCCAAGGCUUAUUACUGAGUUCAUCCACUUCACAUAGAUUAAGAUGCAGAAUCAGACAUUUCCUCUGAGCUGUGGAAGCUACCUGAAGCAGGACUCUUGCAAAGGAAGCAGAACUUUCAGAACAGGAGCCAAGGGCUCUACCUCUCUCCGUUAGCUAGUCAAGCCUUGGGCCUGCUCUGAAGCCUGCACCCCAGGAGCCAGCUUGGGGUUUGGAGAGGCUACCUUGCCUUUAUGGGGCUUGUCAUCUCCGUAGGACUCAUGAGCUAGUUCUAGGGUUUUGUUCCCACUCUGCAUGUCAACAUUUUAGUAUGCUUUUCCUUCUCUUCAUUUACUAAGGGAAAACAUCAAUCAAAUGAUUCAAUGGUUUCUUUUACGCAAUGGGCAAUACCACUAAAUGGUGCCUGGCAAAGAAUAUCAAGUCAGAAACUGUGGGACCCAGUUGCUCAGCACAUAUUAAUUCACCAAUUAUCACAGCAGAGAGCUAGGUGCUAUGUCAAAUGGUGAGUUAUGUGUAGUGAUUCCUCUCAAGGAGCUUAUGCUUGAGUUGUGGAGAUAAAGCAAAUAUAUAUGUACACACACAUACAUAUAUAUAUGUGUGUACAUAUAUGUAUAUAUAAAAUAAUUAGACCAUAAAUAGUUACCUAAUGCUUGGGUUCUGAUGAGAGAACAAAACUGGAGUUGAACGAAAGGGUGAGGGCAGGAUGGUGGGUUGGGUAGUCUGAGAAGUAAUGAUGGAAGAAGUAAAUUUGAAUGUGUCAUUUUAAACAAGUGCUUUAAGGCUCACAAGAUUCUUGCCCUCUUAGUAUCUCUAAUGUGUGUUUCAUUAAGGAAACCACAUGUAUGUAUAAGGGGACUCUGGGCAUUGGCCAUGUAAGGGGCAGGCUUCUUGGGCCUUUGAAGGAUGAGUAGGAGUACAUAAGGCAGAAGGGAGUGUGAAGCAUGGUGUCCAUCAGGAAUGAGUUCUCAAAUGGAAGGAGCAAUCCAAACACUUCUCUGAUUUCUAACAUAUUUGAGAGUAGGAAAACAAGACAUCUGCUCACCCAAAUAUUUCUGUCCAUAAAAUUAUCCAUAAAAUUAUGAGACUUAGUUUUCUUGGCUCCUCCCAGUAAAAUACUUUUGCAUGUUACUUUGAUUAGAACAGUGUUAAGCAGAAACAUCUUAAACACCUAUAAGAAAAGAUUAACUGUCUUAGACCAGUUCUCAAAAUUUAAUGUGUAUACAAAUCACUUGGGGAUCUAGUUAAAAUAAAAACCUUGAUUGAGAAGGUCUGGGGUUGGGGUGGGGGCGACUGAGCUCCUGCAUUUCUUAUAAACUCCCAGUUGAUGAGGCUGCUGCAGGUCUGUGUACCUGUGUGGAUCUCUGAAUAGAAAGAUCAUAGACUUUUAGAGGUAGAAGGUAAUUUAGAAGUAACUGGUGCAUUGGCUUUCAAACUUUACAGAUGUAUAUCAAAGAAGAUUUUUCUCUGCAGAUGAAAACAUAUGGGAAGUGGAUGGUGACUCCUCCCCAUUCCCACUCCCCAACCCUAACUCCAAGGAGAGCCGUUUGAAAAUCUGUGGCCAUGCAUUGUGAUUUUCCCAGGCUCAGAGACAUUCGAACCAUCUCUCACAGCCCAAAUUGAGUCUGGGAUUGAGGAGGACAGCGCUGUGCUGUGCUGUAGCAUUUCCCCCAGUGCUUUAAAGGUGCCCCUGCUGGAAUUUCUAGGCAUUCUAAUGAUCGGUGUCCCGUGGAAAAUGAGGCUCCAGGAAAGAUUCAUUUUUGCUGACGCUGUGGACCAUAAAGUUGAGCUGGAAAGAGCUGGAAUGUUAAUUCGAGACCGGAUGGGAGAGAUCUCUUCCUAUUUCCCCAGCGCACCCCAGCGCAUACCCAUAAAGGGCAGUCAUCAGAAUUUCUGAGGCAGCUUAUCUUGGAUUCAAGUGUUUGUGUGUGCAGCAUAAAUACAUAUAGAGCAUUGACUUUUCCUGUAUACAUUUAAUCUUGUAAAUAUGUGCACCAAAUAUGCAAUUUAAAUGCGUGACUAAAAUGGCAGUGCUGAACCACUUGAAUUUCUGAAGAGUGGGAAGGGAAUAAGGGAAUCAUCAGAAGCCUCAAUAAAUAACAUUGUCUCCACUUGAAGAAGAAAAGAAGCAGGGAGAAAGUUGGUCUGUAUCUUCCUGGGCAUGAUACCAGAAGAGUAUUUAAAACUUGAUUUGCAAGCAUUUGGAUGAAGGAAUAGACAGCAGCCUGGUUCCCCUAAGAAUGGGAAGAACAGGUCAUGGAGAAUUAAUGUCAUUUCCUUUUUGGUGCGGGAAUGGGAAAGGCAGGAAGAGUGCAUUUAUGGAGAGACUUCUGUCUUCUGGGCAGAUCAUAGGAAUUCUGGUAAACAUUCCACAUCAAGGUUUCAGUGCAGCCUUGAUAAAGCCCUUUACUUCCUGAUGAAUGAAACAGAGACCUGGGUGCUGGGCAAGAGUUAGUGGUGGCAUUACCUUGGCUUUAAGUGACUGUCAGGCCUGGUUGUGUCCACUGUCAGCCUUAAGGGAGGUGUUUGGUGCUCCUAGGGCUCAGGACUCACAUGUUCUACAUCAUUAUCCAUGUUGACAUGUGACUUAGUCUGGGUUCCUCAAGUAAGCAGAGCCCGAGGCAAAAACAUGCAUGAAAAAGACUUCUGGCUUUUAGUAGAGCUUAGUGUGAAUAAUAUCACAAUGUGGGUGCCUCCAAAGCUACUAGCCCUUUACUAAUAUAUUAUAUAUAUAAUAACAUUGUAUGCAGAACAGGUCUUCUGUACAGGCUGCACCAUCCCUUUAGUCUGGGGAGCAGUUCUGGGCACACACUUAGAGGGAGAUGGAUGAAUCAGGAUGUGGUCAGAGGAAAGAGAAUGAUGGAGCACCUGAGCACCUGGGGAACAGGUAGACUGGAGAAAAAGACGAACAGAGAACAUGACAACUAUCACUGGCUCCUUGAAAGGCUGGCUUGGAGUUGAGGGAUUUAAUUCUGUAUCCAUGUAGAGGUCAGUGUGUAGAAGCUAAAGGUCAUUUAGCUCAAAGUAAAGAAAACCGUGUGAUGAUGGAGCUCCCAAACAAUGGCAUAAGCUGCUCCAAGAGGCAGGAGCUUGGGUCUCACCGGAGGUGGACAAGCAGUUAGCAUUGUGCAGAGCAUAGAAUGGUGCUUCUACAUAAGACUGGCUCCUGUUUGUUGAGCACCUGCUCUGGGCCAGGUGACUUAAUGAAUUCUUCACACACAUGAUCUCAUAGAAGCUGUGAUCUCUUGGAUGACCUCCAAAGUCCCUUCUAACCUUAAGAUUCUAUGACUUCUGUGAAUCAGGAAUAAGAGAAUAAAACCGUCAGGAGCAGAGGAAAAGAGAGAAGAGACAAUGAGUGGAUGAAUGAAUGAGUGAAUGAUAAGGGUGGUCUCGGAAGUUGUCAGAUUAUUUUCAUUGUGUUUCCCUGUACUUCUUGACCUGUUUGUGCCACAGAUUUAUGGCUGUUUGUUUAAGAAAUACACCUAUCGAGUGAUUUUUCUAUUCUUUCUGAAGUAGGCAGUGAGGUGAGGCCAGGUCACCCUCCUGAGUGGGGCUCCAGUGUUUAAGAAAAGAUUUAGUAAACUGAAUUGAAUCUUGUUUCUCUUUUGGAUCCCACAAGAGCAGUGGUAAGCCCUGAGUGUGUCAGUCAUUUAUUAGCAGAGGUAACUCAUCAUUGCAGUCUCCAUCUCCAAGUCUAUUUUGUUCUCUCCAUGUAGUUCUAAAAGUCACCAUAGCAUAUAUUCUUUCUUUCUUUUUUAAAGCCCUUUCCAUGUGUCUGGCACUGUGCAGAUAGUUACACAUACACACAACCACUGUGUCUAAUUACUUUAUAGAUGAACUGUACAAAGAACCAGAACUAAUGACUGUGAAAAUUUAAUGUGAUAUAUUGCAAUAAUUAGAUGAUGUGCCUGUUAUUACCCAGAGUCUAGCACAUGGUACGUGCUUAAUAACUGGUUACUAAAUCAUGUAAGUCCCACAAAGCAGAUACCAUUUCCAU